rnacentral:rRNA from 1 species
AACCCUUACGGGAGCCAGCCGCCGAAGGUGGGACAGAUGAUUGGGGUGAAGUCGUAACAAGGUAGCCGUAUCGGAAGGUGCGGCUGGAUCACCUCCUUUCUAAGGA